CGUAGGGUUUCUUCGAAUCCGAGAUCUAUGGUUCCUUCCUUCCUUGCUCCCUCUUUGUUCUUCUCCUUGGCGGUCUCGGUUUCACCAGGGGAGGGGAAGAUGUCGUUUGGGUUGCCGGCGUACGGCCUCCAGGAGAUGCUGAAGGAAGGGCACGAGCACCUCCCGGGGCUCGACGAGGCCGUCCUCAGGAACAUCGACGCCUGAAAGUAGCUUUCCUACAUCGCCUGCACCUCCCUCGGUCCCAACGGUAAGAACAAAACAAGUGAUGCUGCCACAAUAGCGGAUGAGCUUGAGGUCCAGCAUCCUGUUGCAAAGAUUUUGGUGCUAUCAGGAAAGGCCCAGCAGGAGGAGAUUGGUGAUCGGGCCGCACCCUAGUGAAAUAAUAAGUGGUUAUACGAAAGCAAUUAAUAAGAUAUAGUCUUUGAAUAUGCUGCUGAUGUUGCCUGUACUCUUCUCUGGGUUAAUCAACUGAGUCACAUUUCAAUCUCAUGGUUCCUUCUGAAUUCACUCGUUGCGCAUCAAUCAUAAAGGCCAAGUCAGCAGGUGGGCCAAAAAGAGAUCAACCGACUAGCAUGGAUGAGGUUUAACUUCUUGGAUUUUUUAAGAGCAUUGUUACUGACAAUGCUGCAGCUAAAAGAGUUGUAUCUGUUUUUAGCCAUGCAACGGAUAUCUGAGCAAGUUCAGCUACAGAAGCCAGUGGCUUUGUGGCACUAGUAAUUGCUUUCGAGGGAAGAUUUGCAGUUCUCUGAAUCUGGUGCACUGGUUUUGAACAUCAGAACAUUUCAUUGUUCUCAAUCAGAAGGUUUCAUGCACGAGUUUCCUGAAUUGUUCAUACGAUGUAAUCGUGCCAGCUUAGGGUUGCGACACCGUAUUGUGCUGGCUGUCAUCAGUAUCAAAAUAUCAUUCUUAGCAAUGUUGUAUUAGUAAAAUAAAAUUAGGGUUUUUUGUUUGCAACUAUGUAGGAUAAAUCAUAGUGUUCUUUGUAUUGUAGGUUUGACAGUUUUGAAAAUUUUGAAGUAA